AAUAGAUACCCCCGGGUAGUCCACGCCGUAAACGAUGGAUACUAGCUGUUGGAGGUAUCGACCCCCUCCAGUAGCGAAGCUAACGCGUUAAGUAUCCCGCCUGUGGAGUACGGUCGCAAGACUAAAACAUAAAGGAAUUGACGGGGGACCCGCACAAGCGGUGGAUUGUGUUCUUUAAUUCGAUGAUAAACGGAGAACCUUACCAGGGUUUGACAUCCCAAGAAUUAUGCCGAAAGGCGUGAGUGCUUUAUUGAACUUGGUGACAGGUGAUGCAUGGCCGUCGUCAGCUCGUGUCGUGAGAUGUUUGGUUAAGUCCAUCAACGAGCGCAACCCUUGUGAAUAGUUGAAUUUUUCUAUUCAGACUGCCCCGGCAACGGGGAGGAAGGAGGGGAUGAUGUCAGGUCAGUAUCUCCCUUACAUCCUGGGCUAGAAACGCAAUACAAUGGUUAGUACAAUGCGCAGCGAAGCCGCGAGGUGAAGCAAAUCGCAUCAAAGCUAAUCCCAGUUCGGAUAAGAGGCUGAAACUCGCCUCUUG
rnacentral:rRNA from 1 species